rnacentral:misc_RNA from 1 species
UCCCCGUUAACCGGGGCAGUCCCCCUAGAGUUCCCGGCUUGACCCGUUGGCAACUAAUGGCAGGGGUUGCGCUCGUUGCGGCACUUAAGCCAACACCUCACGACACGAGCUGACGACAGCCAUGCAGCACCUGUACUAGUUGUACCCCGAAGGGCCUACUCCACUUUCAUGGAGAUAAUCCUAGCGUUUCAAGCCCAGGUAAGGUUCUGCGCGUUGCUUCGAAUUGAACCACAUGCUCCACCGCUUGUGUGAGCCCCCGUCAAUUCCUUUGAGUUUUAGCCUUGCGACCGUACUUCCCAGGCGGUCGACUUAGCACUUUUGCUUCGACCGCAAUACCGUCAGAGGCACUGCGAUCUAGUCGACAUCGUUUACGGCCAGGACUA